AGCUCUGUUGGCGGCCAUGUUGUGGCGUCCCCAGCCUUUGCAUGCAUCUAUUUAGACGUAAAUUAGUUUAUGAUGUAGAAUUGUUAGUGUUUUAAUUAUCUUACACUUGUAAUUGAACGGGUGACUUCAGAUUGAGAGGUCAACGUCGGCUUUAUCCAUCGCCAAAGUGUUUUUGAUUCUAGAUCUUGUGGUUAACUGUAUGUUUCACAAUUUCACAUUACAACAUAACCUCUAAAUUCUAUCUGAUAAAGUUAUAAAUAAAUAACGAAAGUUCAGGACAGAUUAAAGGAGGUUUAUUCUCACACCGGCUGCUUAUUCCGAUAUUUCUUUGGUCUUUAUAUUGAAUAAUGAAGACAUUUCUAUAAGGUUUUAUAUUUGAUUCAAAUUUCGUACAAAU